UUCAGAGAGAAACCUUUGAGAGAAACACAUCUUAAGCAACAUAAAAAGUACAUUCCGCACUCUGACACGUCGUAUGACUUUGAGAUUAACAAGUCUGAGGUCCUUCAGCCUGAAGAUUAUGAACAACCUGAACAAAAACAACUAGCAAGUAACAACACAUAUUCCGAUAUAACUUGCACAUAUGAUGAGGAAGAAAGGCGCAGAAAACGAAGGCGUAGAAAGAAAAAGAAGAACAAACGUCUUCACGAUCAACAGAUGCGUGACAACGAAUUUAUUUUAGAAGAUAAGAGAGACAAUAUUAGGUAUUACGUUCCGCGGUAAGGUCAAUAACAUGAUACCUUCAUGAUGUCACGUGAUCAUGACCAUGAUAUAAUGACCGGUGAAGAAUUUAUUAUGAACUGGAGUAAUCUGACAUAUAAGAUAUCGUUUGUCAUUAAAGAACUGAAAAUUUUGAUAAAGCGUUUUUAUAGUAAGCAUGGCAUACAAAGUUUAACAUAUUAGUUCUGAAUGAUAUUACCUAUGUUUGUCAUCAUAGUAACAUACUUUUCGACGUGUUAAUGUAAUUGUGUUUGAUAGUACCUUCAAAUAAAGGCUUUAGAUGGUAGAGAAAUACGUGAGAAGUUUAAAAAAGGAACCUUGUCAUAACCAUCAACUUUGUAUACUUUUAGAAAAAAAAAUCAUCUUAUUUUGCAAAAUUGUUACACUGAGAUAAAUCUUAUGUAAUCAAUGUGUGCUUACUUUUCAUGUACAUUACUAUAUAUACUAGUUCAAAAGUCAAUAUUAUGAUAUGUUUUCAUUAAACUACAAGUUACUAUAAAUUUAAAGGGACAUUAUUUAUCUAGGAUUUUUUUUUGUUUCAAACAUUUAUCAAAGCGGAAUUGUGAAAUGAUUUCAGCAGUCAGGUUUGUUUAAUUUUGUCAAAAUAUGCUCAAAAAGAUUCCUUUCGUUGAAAAAUCAUUCAAAUAAAGGUAAAAUGAUGAUUUACUAUAUUUUUAAUCUAUGACAUGAAAUCAAACAAACGAUACAUUACAACGAGUCCAUGCAUUGUGAAUUGAUUCUUUAGUACUUUUUGUAAUUUGGAUAAACGUUCAAACAUGUUAUAAUUAAUAUAUCAAAUUUUGAGUCGAAAUGGUAAACAUGACUUUGACAGCUAAUGCCUCUUUAAUUAUAGUUUUUAUUGUGUGUGGAUUUAAUAAUGUGUUGUCUGGUUAUCUUCAGUCACAAAAGGUAUCUGUGUGUUUGAAUGUUAUAAAGCAUUUGUUGUUUUUUUAAGUAAAUUUUAAAAUUUUGUUUAUAGGUUAACUUUUAUAUUCAUAUAACAUAUAUCUAAAUAAAUUUAAUUUGUUUUAUUUA